rnacentral:rRNA from 1 species
UGGGGAAUAUUGCACAAUGGGGGAAACCCUGAUGCAGCGACGCCGCGUGAACGAAGAAGGUAUUCGUAUCGUAAAGUUCUGUCCUAUGGGAAGAUAAUGACAGUACCAUAGAAGAAAGCUCCGGCUAAAUACGUGCCAGCAGCCGCGGUAAUACGUAUGGAGCGAGCGUUGUCCGGAAUUAUUGGGCGUAAAGGGUACGCAGGCGGUUUAAUAAGUCGAAUGUUAAAGAUCGGGGCUCAACCCCGUAAAGCAUUGGAAACUGAUAAACUUGAGUAGUGGAGAGGAAAGUGGAAUUCCUAGUGUAGUGGUGAAAUACGUAGAUAUUAGGAGGAAUACCAGUAGCGAAGGCGACUUUCUGGACACAAACUGACGCUGAGGUACGAAAGCGUGGGGAGCAAACAGGAUUAGAUACCCGUGUAGUCCCUGAGCGGGCUGGCAAGGCGCAU